CCCUCUGUCUCUCUCUCUCAGGAAACUGGUUGCCCACUGAAGCUAAGCAGGGUUGAGCCUCGUCAGUACCUGUAUGGGAGACCUCCUGGGAAAACUAGGUUGCUGCUGGAA
rnacentral:rRNA from 1 species